rnacentral:rRNA from 1 species
GUGAGAUCUUUCUCUAGUGGUAUCGUGAGUGAAGUAGAGUUUAGAAAAGUGGUUUUCAGUUAGAAAUAGGUGUUUUUGAGAAGGGAAGGAUGGCUUGAGUUCAGUACUUUUUGUAUCAUGGGUCAUAGAGAGGGGGUCUGUUUAGUGAGUCCUGAAAGGUUUGGAGCUAUCUUUCUUUUGUUUUAAUGCUUGUGAUGUUGCAGUAUCAUGAGUAAGAGGAAGAUUGAGGUGACAUGUUUGUCGAAAAGCCUGAUAGCUGGUUAGUUAGGAAAUGUAUAUGAGUACAGCGGGGAUUUCUAGGGUUUGCUAGCUUGUGUUGCAAGGUCUUGGUUCCUAGUGAGGCUCAAAGGGUUAAUCUUUUGAGUUUUGUUUUGAGGAAUUGUCAUAAAGUGGGGUUAAUAGUGCCUGUCUUAUUUUGAAAGUUUGUUCAAAGCGGUUUGUUUGUGUCUUUCGAUUUCUACUGACUUCUUGAUUAUAAUUGGUAGUUGAAGAAUUAGUAUGACAUGAGUAAGUGUAAAAUAUAGUAUUUUAUCAUGUUCUUGUGGGAGCAAGGUAGCUUAUUUUGGUUAGUUUUUGUGGUUGUUGUAUUUAGUAAAGUAAAUCUAAGGAACUCGGCAAAUAUUUUCCUCGCCUGUUUAGUAAAAACAUCGCUCUUAGUUUUUGUAGUAUUAGGAGUCGUGCCUGCCCGGUGGAUAUUAUAAUCUAAACGGUUGCUGUUGGUAGCAGUACGAAGGUAGCGCAAUCACUAGUCCUUUAAUUGGGGAACGGAAUGAAUGGUGUGACGUGGGAAAUCCUGUCUCGGGUUUAGAAGCUGAAAUUGACUUUUGCGUGAAAAGGCGUAAAUGUAAACAUUAGACGAGAAGACCCCAUCGAGCUUGAUGAUGCUUGCCUUUUUAAGGCAGGUUGAAGUUUAGUUGGGGUGACUGGGUGCAAGUUUAACGUACUUGAGUUUUUGAUAAUGAAGACCCUUCAUUGAAGAUCUGGAGAAAAAGCUACCGUGGGGAUAACAGCGUAAUGCUCUUGGAGAGAUCUUAUUGAAGAGAGAUGUUGCGACCUCGAUGUUGAAUUAGAGUGUUAUCUUGGCGUAGCCGUUAGGAUUGUGGGACUGUUCGUCCUUUGAAAUUUUACAUGAUUUGAGUUUAGACCGGCGUGAGCUAGGUCGGAUUCUAUCUGUGUUUUUUACCUCUUUUGUACGAAAGGAUCGAGAGGUUGGCCUGAGGUUUUCUU